AUUUGAUAUCGUUUUUACCGGCGAAGAAUUUCGCCGCAAGAUGUCUCCUGGCGACUGAAUUUUUGGUCGCAAAAGCUCACUUUUCUUGGCGACAGUAUUUUCGCCGCAAAAAACUUUAUUAGCCGGCGAUACUUUUUCGCCGCAAAAGACAUCUUUUAUUUCCUCCUUUCCUAGGGUCUCCAAACGACGCCGUUGGAUCUCUAAUCCGAAGGGAUAUCAGGAGUUGAGGAGAGAGGGGUGGAGAAGGAGGGCGGAGGCGCGGUGGCUGUGGAGGGGGUGACAGGGACGUCCGCGUGGAUAUUCGACAGGCAAGCACUCGCCCCACACGAUCCUCCGUAAGAAGCUCAUCGGCGUCACCCAGUGGUUCCCCUACGACAUCAAUAACGACGACCCCCUCGUCCUCACCUGCGAAGAGGGGAUGCAUGAUGUUAUCUGCAGGGAUGUAAAUGAGCUGAGCCCAGCGGACUAGGAGGCUGCUCAGGCUUGGAUCACUAUA